UUGGGGUUGCGGACAUAUCAUAACGAAGAGGUAUCGUAAUUGAAGAGGUUUGGAAAGACCCACCACAGAAGGUAAUAGUCCUGUAUGUUAAACGAGAAGACUUUAGAUAUGAUCCAGAGUACCACGGGACACGUGAAACCCUGUGGGAAGCAGGAGGGACCACCCUCCAAGGCUAAAUACUACCUAGUGACCGAUAGCGUAUAGUACCGUGAGGGAAAGGUGAAAAGAACCCCGGGAGGGGAGUGAAAUAGACCCUGAAACCCUGCACUUACAAGCUGUGGAAGCACAUUUCUUGUGUGACCGCGUACUUUUUGUAGAACGGGCCAACGAGUUACGUUAAGUAGCAAGGUUAAGCACUUAAGGUGUGGAGCCGUAGCGAAAGCGAGUUUUAACUGAGCGUUCAGUUACUUGACGUAGACCCGAAACCGGGCGACCUACCCAUGAGCAGGAUGAAGCGAAAGUAAAAUUUCGUGGAGGUCCGAACCCACGAGCGUUGAAAAGCUCGGGGAUGACUUGUGGGUAGCGGUGAAAUUCCAAUCGAGCCCGGAGAUAGCUGGUUCUCCCCGAAAUAGCUUUAGGGCUAGCCUCAAGGUGAGAGAUACGGAGGUAGAGCACUGAAUGUCCUAGGGGGUAUUGCACCUACCGAAG
rnacentral:rRNA from 1 species